UAUGAUCAUAUCACAUUGAAAUACUGGUUCCUGUAACAUCACCAAAGUUAAGCAAUACUGAACCUGUUUAGUACCUAGAUGGGUGACCACUUGGGAAUACCAGAUACUGUAAG